GACGAACGCUGGCGGCGUGCCUAAUACAUGCAAGUAGAACGCUGAAGGAGGAGCUUGCUUCUCUGGAUGAGUUGCGAACGGGUGAGUAACGCGUAGGUAACCUGCCUGGUAGCGGGGGAUAACUAUUGGAAACGAUAGCUAAUACCGCAUAAUAGUAGAUGUUGCAUGACAUUUGCUUAAAAGGUGCAAUUGCAUCACUACCAGAUGGACCUGCGUUGUAUUAGCUAGUUGGUGGGGUAACGGCUCACCAAGGCGACGAUACAUAGCCGACCUGUGAGGGGGAUCGGCCACACUGGGACUGAGACACGGCCCAGACUCCUACGGGAGGCAGCAGUAGGGAAUCUUCGGCAAUGGACGGAAGUCUGACCGAGCAACGCCGCGUGAGUGAAGAAGGUUUUCGGAUCGUAAAGCUCUGUUGUAAGAGAAGAACGAGUGUGAGAGUGGAAAGUUCACACUGUGACGGUAUCUUACCAGAAAGGGACGGCUAACUACGUG
rnacentral:rRNA from 1 species